rnacentral:rRNA from 1 species
UACGUAGGGGGCAAGCGUUGUUCGGAAUCAUGGGCGUAAAGAGCGUGUAGGCGGCUUGGCAAGUCUGGUGUGAAAUCUUGCGGCUCAACCGCAAGCGGUCACUGGAAACUGCCUCGCUAGAGUCCGGAAGAGGAGAGCGGAAUUCCUGGUGUAGCGGUGGAAUGCGCAGAUAUCAGGAAGAACACCCGUGGCGAAGGCGGCUCUCUGGGACGGUACUGGACGCUGAGACGCGAAAGCGUGGGGAGCGAACAGG